AGCUUUGUACAGUGGCAGUAUCAUAGCCAAUGAAGUUUAUCCAAGGAGUGAUUAUUGCUAAUUGAAAACUAAAAGUACAUCUAUAAGAAACAAAUAGAAGGAAUGGGGGGGAAAAUAUAUAUAUAUAUUUAGAAAGGUGAUAAUCCAC
ensembl:snRNA U4 U4 spliceosomal RNA